rnacentral:rRNA from 1 species
GAGUUUGAUCCUGGCUCAGGAUGAACGCUGGCGGCGUGCUUAACACAUGCAAGUCGAACGGAGGACCCUUGACGGAGUUUUCGGACAACGGAUAGGAAUCCUUAGUGGCGGACUGGUGAGUAACACGUAAGCAACCUGCCUAUCAGAGGGGAACAACAGUUAGAAAUGACUGCUAAUACCGCAUAUGCCUUGAGUAUCGCAUGGUACAAGAGGGAAAGAAGCAAUUCGCUGAUAGAUGGGCUUGCGUCUGAUUAGAUAGUUGGUGUGGUAACGGCAUACCAAGUCUACGAUCAGUAGCCGGACUGAGAGGUUGAACGGCCACAUUGGGACUGAGAUACGGCCCAGACUCCUACGGGAGGCAGCAGUCGGGAAUAUUGCGCAAUGGAGGAAACUCUGACGCAGUGACGCCGCGUGCAGGAAGAAGGUUUUCGGAUUGUAAACUGCUUUAGACAGGGAAGAAACAAGACAGUACCUGUAGAAUAAGCUCCGGCUAACUACGUGCCAGCCGCCGCGGUAAUUC